rnacentral:rRNA from 1 species
UACGUAGGUGGCGAGCGUUGUCCGGAAUUACUGGGUGUAAAGGGCGUGUAGGCGGGGCGGCAAGUCAGAUGUGAAAUUCCGGGGCUUAACCCCGGCGCUGCAUCUGAAACUGUCGUUCUUGAGUGUCGGAGAGGAAAGUGGAAUUCCCAGUGUAGCGGUGAAAUGCGUAGAGAUUGGGAGGAACGCCAGUGGCGAAGGCGGCUUUCUGGACGAUAACUGACGCUGAGGCGCGAAAGAGUGGGGAGCAAACAGG